UCGCAAAAAAUAAAGUAUAUC
rnacentral:piRNA from 1 species